rnacentral:rRNA from 1 species
GAGUUUGAUCAUGGCUCAGAUUGAACGCUGGCGGCAUGCCUUACACAUGCAAGUCGAACGGCAGCAUGAUCUAGCUUGCUAGAUUGAUGGCGAGUGGCGAACGGGUGAGUAAUACAUCGGAACGUGCCCUGUAGUGGGGGAUAACUAGUCGAAUGAUUAGCUAAUACCGCAUACGACCUGAGGGUGAAAGUGGGGACCGCAAGGCCUCAUGCUAUAGGAGCGGCCGAUGUCUGAUUAGCUAGUUGGUGGGGUAAAGGCCCACCAAGGCGACGAUCAGUAGCUGGUCUGAGAGGACGAUCAGCCACACUGGGACUGAGACACGGCCCAGACUCCUACGGGAGGCAGCAGUGGGGAAUUUUGGACAAUGGGCGAAAGCCUGAUCCAGCAAUGCCGCGUGUGUG